rnacentral:rRNA from 1 species
GACGAACGCUGGCGGCGUGCUUAACACAUGCAAGUCGAACGGUGAAGCGCCUUCCUUUUUGGUGGGUGUGGAUGAGUGGCGAACGGGUGGGUAACACGUGAGUAACCUGCCCCCUUCUUCUGGAUAACCGCAUGAAAGUGUGGCUAAUACGGGAUAUUCUGGGUCUGUCGCAUGAUGGGUCUGGGAAAGAUAUUGUUUCGGUGGGGGAUGGGCUCGCGGCCUAUCAGCUUGUUGGUGGGGUGAUGGCCUACCAAGGCGGUGACGGGUAGCCGGCCUGAGAGGGUGGACGGUCACACUGGGACUGAGACACGGCCCAGACUCCUACGGGAGGCAGCAGUGGGGAAUAUUGCACAAUGGGCGCAAGCCUGAUGCAGCGACGCCGCGUGAGGGAUGGAGGCCUUCGGGUUGUUAACCUCUUUCGCCAGUGAAGCAGGCCUGCCUCGUUUGUGGGUGGGUUGACGGUAGCUGGAUAAGAAGCGCCGGCUAACUACGUG